UGCCUCAUCCACCAGCCAGUCCAAAACACAUCCCGAAUCUGACCACUUCCCUGGUCCUGGCCACCUUCACCUCUCACCUGGACUUCCAGCAGCUUCCUAAUGGUCUUUUCAGUUCCUUGCUUGCUCCCCUCUAGUCUGUCUCUACGCAGCAGCCAGAGGGCAAGCCAGAUCACGUGGCUCCCCCGUCGAAAACCAUCCAAGGACCCGGACCCUGCUCUUGCCCACCUCUGACCUUGCUCCCUUCCCUCCAGCCACACUGGCCUUUGCUGAGCUCCACAGGCACUGCAAGCUCAUUCCUGACUCCAGGCCCACACAGCUCCAGUUUCCUCUGCCUGGAACACUCUGGCCCGAGACCUCGGCGUGCCUGGCAGCUUCUCGACAUUUGGUUCUCAGUUCACACGUCACUCGCCGACUGGCAGUGCCCCAAGAGCAGGGAGGCUCUUUUCCCCAGCACCCAGGGUGCUCAGGCGAUUUCAGUUGAGUGGAUGGAUGGAUGAACUGGAGUCAUGAAGGCCUGAGGCUGGCCACAGGAAAGGCAGUUGUUUUUCCUAGAACCCACCUUUCCUGAGACAGACACUGCGGAUACCAACGGUGUGGCAAAUGACAGGACUGAGACAGAAGCAAGUGCAAAUCAUAAGUGAGCCGCCGAUAAAUUAUGACAAAACGAGCACACCCCCGUAGAGGAUCCAGAUAAGGAAUGGAGCAUGAUCAACACCCAGAAGCUUGCUCCUACCCUUUUCCGAAGCCUCUCACCUGGGUGAAUGGGAAGACCUACUGAGCUGCUUUGGAAGAGAAGGCCGGAACGACGUUAAAUCAUGCAGAAUGCAACAAGUGGGCCCGGUAGCGUUCAAGUCAUCAAUCUGGCCAUCGGCCCCAGGAGACUCAUAAAGGUCCUGGCCCUGUGCAGGCUCAGGAUGCCCCCAGAUAUGGACACAAAUGGCCAGAGAGAGAUCAUUGACUCAAGGUCACACAGGAAGGGGUUGAUGCUGAUGUUUUCAUCCAGUCCACCUGACGACAAAGUUAUCCCCCCGCAGCACUGGGGCAUUACCAAAAGAACAGAAUCUGUCAGGACAAAUAUAGAGCGAUGGCCAUCUCAGCAUGCCCGCGUUCUGAGAAGUGGAAACAGUCCUCCGAGAAGAUGGGGGACAAGAGUGUUUUUGAAGAAAGGCUGCACAACCACGGCGAAGUCCUCUCGCUGCAGGUACUGGUAGGAGAGCCUGGAGAGGCCACUCUGGGGAUGGGGAGAGGGGCUGCUCAACUCCUCC